rnacentral:lncRNA from 1 species
CAUUCGGCUGGGAUCUUUUGGCCAGGAUGCAGUGGCCCAGAUUCCGCGGCUCCAGCGCCCAUUUUCCAACUGUUUCCACAUCCUCAACGACGAACGCGGUUGUAAACAAAGGCCGUGGUGUUGGUUUUACGAGUUGAUGAUGGCUGGUGAUGAUGAUGCUCGGCUCUGUGACUCAAGGAGCUGUCAUCGCAAUAAAACGCGGGCAGCGGCACGUGAAAUUCGAUUGGUGUACUUAUCCUGCGCCUCUUCCUUCUCCUCCUCCUCAAGUUGACAUAAAUGGACAAAUUGAGCUUUUAAAUUUGUCCCAGGAUGGACUAGCACGGCAACAGUAAAAGAAGGGAGCCGAGUCUGCGGAGGACCACCGUUCAGGACGAUAGCCAGUCAAAUAGAUACAAAUUGUUUUGCAAACAAAAUUGAUUACCCGCACCAGCAAGAGCGGGGUUCAAAAUAUUUAUUGGAUUAACAUAAACUGAAUGCCUGGAUUUAUGACUUCGGAAUCGGAUUCCACUCUGAAUUUUGUCGCAUCUGGCCUUGUUCAUUAUUUCAGUCAGUCCAAUCGAAUUCGCUGGAUACUGUAUAUUUUAAGGUUUUUAAUUGUGAAUGUUAUAAAACUAUUCCAAUAAAUCACAGCA